GGAAAGAUUUAUCGCUCAAGGAGAGGGGUGUAUCCUAUCAGGUAGUUGGUAAGGUAACGGCUUACCAAGCCUAUGACGGGUAGCCGGUUUGAGAUGAUGAUCGGCCGCGAUGGGACUGAGACACGGCCCAUACUCCUACGGGAGGCAGCAGUGGGGAAUAUUGCACAAUGGACGAAAGUCUGAUGCAGCGAUUCUGCGUGGAGGAUGAAGCAUUACGGUGUGUAAACUCCUUUUCUGGUAGAAGACGAAUGACGGUAUACCAGGAAUAAGGGACGGCUAACUAUGUGCCAGCAGCCGCGGUAAUACAUAGGGGGCGAGCGUUAUCCGGAAUUAUUGGGCGUAAAGGGUACGUAGGCGGGCCUGCAAGUCUGAUUUGAAAGCACACGGCUUAACCGUGUGAGGUAAUUAGAAACUACAGGUCUAGAGAGUGGUAGAGGUAAAUGGAAUUCCAAGUGGAGCGGUGAAAUGCGUAGAGAUUUGGAGGAACACCAGUGGCGAAGGCGGUUUACUGGGCCACAUCUGACGCUGAUGUACGAAAGCGUGGGAAGCAAACAGGAUUAGAUACCCUGGUAGUCCACGCCGUAAAAAAGGAGUGCUAAGUAUCGUUAGAUUCGGUGCUUAAGCUAACGCAGAAAGCACUCCCCCUGGGGAGUACGGUCGCAAGACUGAAACUCAAAGGAAUAGACGGGGACUCGCACAAGCGGUGGAGCAUGCGGUUUAAUUCGAUGCAACGCGAAGAACCUUACCAGGUCUUGACAGUGUAAAGAAUACUUAAGAGAUUAAGGGCUAAGAAUUAAGCUUGCUUAUUUCACUUUAUAAACAGGUGGUGCAUGGUUGUCGUCAGCUCGUGUCGUGAGAUGUUGGGUUAAGUCCCGCAACGAGCGCAACCCCCAUUGCUAGUUGCCAUCAUUAAGUUGGGCACUCUAGCAAGACUGCCGGUGACAAAUCGGAUGAAGGUGGGGAGGACGUCAAAUCAUCAUGCCCCCUAUGACCUGGGCUACACGCGUGCUACAAUGGCUAAUACAAAGAGUUGCAAAACCGUGAGGUAGAGCUAAUCUCAUAAAGUUAGUCUCAGUUCGGAUUGUAGUCUGCAACUCGACUACAUGAAGUUGGAAUCGCUAGUAAUCGUAAAUCAG
rnacentral:rRNA from 1 species